AGUAACGGCGAGUGAAGCGGCAACAGCUCAAAUUUGAAAUCUGACUUCGGUCCGAGUUGUAAUUUGCAGAGGGAAUUUGGAAAGCGACACUGGCCUAAGUCCCUUGGAACAGGGCGUCAUAGAGGGUGAGAAUCCCGUAUGUGGCCAGAGGUCAAUUUCAUGUCAAAUCCCUUCGACGAGUCGAGUUGUUUGGGAAUGCAGCUCAAAAUGGGUGGUAAAUUUCAUCUAAAGCUAAAUACCGGCCAGAGACCGAUAGCGCACAAGUAGAGUGAUCGAAAGAUGAAAAGCACUUUGGAAAGAGAGUUAAACAGUACGUGAAAUUGUUGAAAGGGAAGCGCUUGCCAUUAGACCGAUUCACCGGUUGCAGUCGGAGGCAACUCUGGACGUAAAGCACCGGUAUUUCGGCCAGCAUCGGUUUGGGUGGUUUGACAAAGACGCACAGAACGUGGCUCUUCGGAGUGUUAUAGCUGUGUGUGUAAUGAAAUCUCCCCGGACCGAGGACCGCGCUUCGGCUAGGAUGCUGGCGUAAUGAUGGCAAGCGACCCGUCUUGAAACACGGACCAAGGAGUCGAUCAUCUAUGCGAGUGUUUGGGUGUUAAACCCAUACGCGGAAUGAAAGUGAACGGAGGUGAGAACCGUAAGGUGCAUCAUCGACCGAUCCUGAUGUCUUCGGAUGGAUUUGAGUAGGAGCAUAGCCGAUCGGACCCGAAAGAUGGUGAACUAUGCGUGAAUAGGGUGAAGCCAGAGGAAACUCUGGUGGAGGCUCGCAGCGGUUCUGACGUGCAAAUCGAUCGUCAAAUUUGCGCAUAGGUACGUUGACCUUGCAAUCUUACCUUUGGGAGUCUAUGCUAACAGAAAUAUAGGGGCGAAAGACCGUAAGCAUCAACCUUGGAAGUGUUUUCUUUUUAUAUUUGCUGACCAAAAUUUUUAGNNNNNNNNAAUCGAACUAUCUAGUAGCUGGUUCCUGCCGAAGUUUCCCUCAGGAUAGCAGUAACGUUUUCAGUUUUAUGAGGUAAAGCGAAUGAUUAGAGGCCUUGGGGUUGAAACAACCUUAACCUAUUCUCAAACUUUAAAUAUGUAAGAGGUCAUUGUUGCUUAAUUGAACGAUGACAUUGGAAUGUAUCGUUACUAGUGGGCCAUUUUUGGUAAGCAGAACUGGCGAUGCGGGAUGAACCGAACGUGAGGUUAAGGUGCCGGACUAUACGCUCAUCAGACACCACAAAAGGUGUUAGUUCAUCUAGACAGUUGGACGGUGGCCAUGGAAGUCGGAAUCCGCUAAGGAGUGUGUAACAACUCACCAACCGAAUGAACUAGCCCUGAAAAUGGAUGGCGCUCAAGCGUGUGACCCAUACCUCACCGUCAGGGUAGAUACGAUGCCCUGACGAGUAGGCAGGCGUUGAGAUCCGUGACGAAGCCUUGGGCGUGAGCCCGGGUCGAACGGUCUCAAGUGCAG
rnacentral:rRNA from 1 species